AUGAACGCUAGCUACAGGCUUAACACAUGCAAGUCGAGGGGCAUCAGGAAGAAAGCUUGCUUUCUUUGCUGGCGACCGGCGCACGGGUGAGUAACACGUAUCCAACCUGCCCUUUACUCGGGGAUAGCCUUUCGAAAGAAAGAUUAAUACCCGAUGGCAUAAUGAUUCCGCAUGGUUUCAUUAUUAAAGGAUUCCGGUAAAGGAUGGGGAUGCGUUCCAUUAGGUUGUUGGUGAGGUAACGGCUCACCAAGCCUUCGAUGGAUAGGGGUUCUGAGAGGAAGGUCCCCCACAUUGGAACUGAGACACGGUCCAAACUCCUACGGGAGGCAGCAGUGAGGAAUAUUGGUCAAUGGGCGCUAGCCUGAACCAGCCAAGUAGCGUGAAGGAUGAAGGCUCUAUGGGUCGUAAACUUCUUUUAUAUAAGAAUAAAGUGCAGUAUGUAUACUGUUUUGUAUGUAUUAUAUGAAUAAGGAUCGGCUAACUCCGUGCCAGCAGCCGCGGUAAUACGGAGGAUCCGAGCGUUAUCCGGAUUUAUUGGGUUUAAAGGGAGCGUAGGUGGACUGGUAAGUCAGUUGUGAAAGUUUGCGGCUCAACCGUAAAAUUGCAGUUGAUACUGUCAGUCUUGAGUACAGUAGAGGUGGGCGGAAUUCGUGGUGUAGCGGUGAAAUGCUUAGAUAUCACGAAGAACUCCGAUUGCGAAGGCAGCUCACUGGACUGCAACUGACACUGAUGCUCGAAAGUGUGGGUAUCAAACAGGAUUAGAUACCCUGGUAGUCCACACCGUAAACGAUGGAUACUAGGUGUAGGAGGUAUUAAGCCUUCUGUGCCGUCGCAAACGCAGUAAGUAUCCCACCUGGGGAGUACGGCCGCAAGGUUGAAACUCAAAGGAAUUGACGGGGGCCCGCACAAGCAGUGGAGUAUGUGGUUUAAUUCGAAGCAACGCGAAGAACCUUACCAGGUCUUGACAUCCCGAUGACCGGCGUAGAGAUACGCUUUCUCUUCGGAGCAUCGGUGACAGGUGGUGCAUGGUUGUCGUCAGCUCGUGUCGUGAGAUGUUGGGUUAAGUCCCGCAACGAGCGCAACCCCUGUACUUAGUUGCCAGCAUGUAGAGAUGGGAACUCUAAGUAGACUGCCGCGAAUAACGCGGAGGAAGGUGGGGAUGACGUCAAAUCAUCAUGCCCCUUAUGAUCUGGGCUACACACGUGCUACAAUGGCGCAUACAAAGAGAAGCGACCUCGCGAGAGCAAGCGGACCUCAUAAAGUGCGUCGUAGUCCGGAUUGGAGUCUGCAACUCGACUCCAUGAAGUCGGAAUCGCUAGUAAUCGUGGAUCAGAAUGCCACGGUGAAUACGUUCCCGGGCCUUGUACACACCGCCCGUCACACCAUGGGAGUCAGUAACGCCCGAAGUCAGUGACCUAACUGCAAAGAAGGAGCUGCCGAAGGCGGGACCGAUAACUGGGGUG
rnacentral:rRNA from 1 species